rnacentral:rRNA from 1 species
UCCGUAGGGUCCGAGCGUUGUCCGGAAUUAUUGGGCGUAAAGGGCUCGUAGGCGGUUUGUCGCGUCGGGCGUGAAAACACGGGGCUUAACCCCGUGCCUGCUUCCGAUACGGGCAGACUAGAGGUAUGCAGGGGAGAACGGAAUUCCCGGUGUAGCGGUGAAAUGCGCAGAUAUCGGGAGGAACACCGGUUGCGAAGGCGGUUCUCUGGGCCUUACCUGACGCUGAGGAGCGAAAGCAUGGGGAGCAAACAGG